ACCGUUGCACACAGUCAUGGUGUGCAACAACCAUAUUUUUCCAUGAAAGUCACCCUCACGCAGCCACCGUGUAGGAUGUGGCCGCAUACACUCCUAGAUGGGAUACAGGGGAAGAGAGAGAAAAAAAGUAGAAGUUGAGCGUGCAGAAGAGAGAAGGAAGGGGCUGGCGGGUGCCAGCCGGUUGGAUUUGGCUGCGGGUGGUGAUCAGGGUUGGAGAGAGUGGGUGAUUUUAAUUUCAAAGGAGCCCUCCUCCGCCUCCCUCCUCCCUACAGUACCCCUCUGCUGCGCCUGGUCCAGAUGAUUCACGUACGGUGAGAUUUGGGGCGGGCAUGAUUGGGGGAAAGACGGAUGCAAGCUUCCUGGGUAUCCCAAUCUGAUUUGUUUUCUCAAUUUACAACCUGUUCUUCUGGAUCUGGAUUUCGUGGGGACUCAUGCUUCCUGGGUUCGAUUACUGCAUUCUCUUCAGCAUCUGCAGGUGACCUGAGGAGCAGCUAGCAUCAAGAUUGCAGCAUCUUCUACUCCUGCAUCUACAUUUUUUUGCCCUUGGUUCGGAAAGCUAAUAAUCACUUGGAGCGAAAAGGUUUCUGAAGUGCCUCAAGUGUGCUGGUAGUUGCUAGUCGCUUCACCCACUAGAGCAUUGGAUUCUUGUAGCAAAUUUGACGGAUAGUAGAACUAAUUGGAUAUGCAUGCUUUUGUAAGUUCCCUUUUGCUCAGUACGUGUACCACGGACCAUGUUUUACUUGCCCUGCACUUGCCGAAACAUUGAAAUUGCCGUGUGGAUUGAA